CUCGGUUCUGGCUGCUCCCCCUGGGUCUCCUUCUGAGACUGGCAGGGGUUUGGAGCUGCCUCGGUUCCUGAAUAGGUUGCACCUCUCUGGUUGAGGCCUUAAAACUCAUCCCAAGGCAAGUUUCUCAACCUGUGACCCAAUCACUUCAGAAUCACUUGUGUAACUUGGUAACAACACUGCUUCCUCCCUGCCCCCAUUUAUAGGAUUAGAACAGAGGAGAGGGAAUGGGCCUCAUAGCCAGCACCCGGUCAAGUCCUAUGUAUAGAGUACUCGAAGAUCUGUUGUAGGCGGUGGACUUUGGAUGGGAGUUCAAAUCCCGGCUCGGCGCAGGCAGUGGUGUGGCUUGGAAUGCUUCCUAACCUCUGUGAGGCAACGCUCUCCCAGGCCAGCCUGGACAAAGAGUUCUUGAAAAGUUUCAGCCACUUCUGAUGGAUCAGUCACCUCGGAAACUUUCCCCAGCUCUUCUGCGUCCACCAGUUCUGCUCUCAGCGCACACAAUGGACAGGGACAGAACAAUGCCUAGG
rnacentral:lncRNA from 1 species